CUCUCUGAUUCAGCGGCGGACGGGUGAGUAAUGCCUAGGAAUCUGCCUGAUAGUGGGGGACAACGUUUCGAAAGGAACGCUAAUACCGCAUACGUCCUACGGGAGAAAGCAGGGGACCUUCGGGCCUUGCGCUAUCAGAUGAGCCUAGGUCGGAUUAGCUAGUUGGUGAGGUAACGGCUCACCAAGGCGACGAUCCGUAACUGGUCUGAGAGGAUGAUCAGUCACACUGGAACUGAGACACGGUCCAGACUCCUACGGGAGGCAGCAGUGGGGAAUAUUGGACAAUGGGCGAAAGCCUGAUCCAGCCAUGCCGCGUGUGUGAAGAAGGUCUUCGGAUUGUAAAGCACUUUAAGUUGGGAGGAAGGGCAUUAACCUAAUACGUUAGUGUUUUGACGUUACCGACAGAAUAAGCACCGGCUAACUUCGUGCCAGCAGCCGCGGUAAUACGAAGGGUGCAAGCGUUAAUCGGAAUUACUGGGCGUAAAGCGCGCGUAGGUGGUUUGUUAAGUUGGAUGUGAAAGCCCCGGGCUCAACCUGGGAACUGCAUCCAAAACUGGCAAGCUAGAGUAUGGCAGAGGGUGGUGGAAUUUCCUGUGUAGC
rnacentral:rRNA from 1 species